rnacentral:rRNA from 1 species
UACGUAGGGUGCAAGCGUUAAUCGGAAUUACUGGGCGUAAAGCGUGCGCAGGCGGUCCUGUAAGACAGAGGUGAAAUCCCCGGGCUCAACCUGGGAACUGCCUUUGUGACUGCGGGGCUUGAGUACGGCAGAGGGGGAUGGAAUUCCGCGUGUAGCAGUGAAAUGCGUAGAUAUGCGGAGAACACCGAUGGCGAAGGCAAUCCCCUGGGCCUGUACUGACGCUCAUGCACGAAAGCGUGGGGAGCAAACAGG